AACCCAUGAUGAGGGCACCUUCUCAAUAAGUCUUUCUAUCUCUCCCAUGCAUCAUAUAACAUCUUUAAAUUGAUCUGCACAAAAGAAGAGAUGUCAUUCCUCAACUU
rfam:Gossypium hirsutum cultivar TM-1 unplaced genomic scaffold scaffold335.1, whole genome shotgun sequence